GACGAACGCUGGCGGCGUGCUUAACACAUGCAAGUCGAACGAUGAAGCCCAGCUUGCUGGGUGGAUUAGUGGCGAACGGGUGAGUAACACGUGGGUGAUCUGCCCUGCACUCUGGGAUAAGCCUGGGAAACUGGGUCUAAUACCGGAUAUGACCUCGGGAUGCAUGUUCUGGGGUGGAAAGUUUUUCGGUGCAGGAUGAGCCCGCGGCCUAUCAGCUUGUUGGUGGGGUAAUGGCCUACCAAGGCGACGACGGGUAGCCGGCCUGAGAGGGCGACCGGCCACACGGGGACUGAGACACGGCCCAGACUCCUACGGGAGGCAGCAGUGGGGAAUAUUGCACAAUGGGCGCAAGCCUGAUGCAGCGACGCCGCGUGAGGGAUGACGGCCUUCGGGUUGUAACCUCUUUCACCCAUGACGAAGCGCAAGUGACGGUGGUGGGAGAAGAAGCACCGGCCAACUACGUGCCAGCCGCCGCAGUAAGAC
rnacentral:rRNA from 1 species